UACGUAGGUGGCAAGCGUUGUCCGGAAUUACUGGGUGUAAAGGGAGCGCAGGCGGGAAAGCAAGUCAGCUGUGAAAUCCAUGGGCUUAACCCAUGAACUGCAGUUGAAACUGUUUUUCUUGAGUGAAGUAGAGGUUGGCGGAAUUCCGAGUGUAGCGGUGAAAUGCGUAGAUAUUCGGAGGAACACCGGUGGCGAAGGCGGCCAACUGGGCUUUUACUGACGCUGAGGCUCGAAAGUGUGGGGAGCAAACAGG
rnacentral:rRNA from 1 species